CAGUGACAAGGAAAAAUGGGUUUGUUCGACGUGGCGAUGCCAGGAGGCUAACUCUCCUGAUGAGGAUGCUAGCAUGACAAAGAGGAGACCGCGGCUAAAGACGACGACGACGAAGAGGAUGUCGUCCAGCCAGGCCAAGUCAUGUUGGGAGAACAUCAGAUCCAGGAGCUUUCGUACGACCAUCAGACCAAGAAUCUACACAGAAAGAGAGACAAAAAUCAGACCUUGAGCUUGUUUUCCUUGCGGUUGACUAUGACCGCGCUGAUCUGCUGGUCCAUGAAGAUGAGGAUGGUGACCAGGAGAGCGGGGAUGGAGCUAGCCAGAUACCACCACCAGGGGUUCUUACCAAACGGCAUCACCAACCAGCCACGAUCAGAACGGAUGGAACCUUCUUGGGUGGCUCGAUGCGGAUUUUUGGGUCCCACUCCCCUGGCGGGAGGACAAUCACCUCAUCCAGAAACUCAUCAACACCUGCAAUCAGGUCUUCCCGGUCCCUUGCUUUAUAGGCGACAUCACUGAAGAGCUGAUAAGAAAACCAUGAAAUAAAAUCUGAUCUGUGUAUGAGUGAAUUCUACUGAGACGGGACGGUGCCAGUAACUUACAUCAUCCACCAUGAGAGUAGCGAUGGCUCUGCCAAUUUCAUUGUAGGACUUGGUUUUUCCAUGAGGACCCAGCAGAAUGAAGAGAAACCUGUCAAUACAGAAGCUAGUUAAUGUAAGACCGCAGUCUGGAGUCAAAUGAGAAGGGAGACAAAGGGGACACCCACCUUGUUGGCACAGGAACCUCCGUGAGGCCUCCGAGAGUUGUGGCUUGAGC